CGAACGGGUGAGUAACGCGUGAGGAACCUGCCUCAAAGAGGGGACAACAGUUGGAAACGACUGCUAAUACCGCAUAAGCCCACGGCUCGGCAUCGAGCAGAGGGAAAAGGAACAAUCCGCUUUGAGAUGGCCUCGCGUCCGAUUAGCUAGUUGGUGAGGUAACGGCCCACCAAGGCGACGAUCGGUAGCCGGACUGAGAGGUUGAACGGCCACAUUGGGACUGAGCCACGGCCCAG
rnacentral:rRNA from 1 species